rnacentral:rRNA from 1 species
AUUGAACGCUGGCGGCGUGCCUAGCACAUGCAAGUCGAGCGGUAACAGGUGUAGCAAUACAUGCUGACGAGCGGCGGACGGGUGAGUAACGCUUGGGAAUCUGCCUAUUAGUGGGGGACAACCCGGGAAACUCGGGCUAAUACCGCAUACGCUCUACGGAGGAAAGCCGGGGACCGCAAGGCCUGGCGCUAAUAGAUGAGCCCAAGUCGGAUUAGCUAGUUGGUAGGGUAAGGCCUACCAAGGCGACGAUCCGUAACUGGUCUGAGAGGACGACCAGUCACACCGGAACUGAGACACGGUCCGGACUCCUACGGGAGGCAGCAGUGGGGAAUAUUGGACAAUGGCGAAAGCCUGAUCCAGCGACGCCGCGUGGGUGAAGAAGGCCUGCGGGUUUGUAAAGCCCCUUUCAGUGGGGAAGAAAAGCCCUCGACCUAACACGUCGGGGUCUUGACGUAACCCAUAGAAGAAGCACCGG